CUUAAAUUGAAGAGUUUGAUCAUGGCUCAGAUUGAACGCUGGCGGCAGGCCUAACACAUGCAAGUCGAGCGGAAACGACAUUAACAAUCCUUCGGGUGCGUUAAUGGGCGUCGAGCGGCGGACGGG
rnacentral:rRNA from 1 species